rnacentral:rRNA from 1 species
AGCGAACGCUGGCGGCAGGCCUAACACAUGCAAGUCGAGCGCCGUAGCAAUACGGAGCGGCAGACGGGAGAGUAACACGUGGGAACGUACCCUUCAGUACGGAACAACCAAGGGAAACUUUGGCUAAUACCGUAUACGUCCGUAAGGAGAAAGAUUUAUCGCUGAAAGGAUCGGCCCGCGUCUGAUUAGCUAGUUGGUGAGGUAACGGCUCACCAAGGCGACGAUCAGUAGCUGGUCUGAGAGGAUGAUCAGCCUCACUGGGACUGAGACACGGCCCAGACUCCUACGGGUGGCCAG